GAUGAACGCUGGCGGCGUGCCUAAUACAUGCAAGUCGAGCGAACAGACGAGGAGCUUGCUCCUCUGACGUUAGCGGCGGACGGGUGAGUAACACGUGGAUAACCUACCUAUAAGACUGGGAUAACUUCGGGAAACCGGAGCUAACACCGGAUAAUAUAUUGAACCGCAUGGUUCAAUAGUGAAAGACGGUUUUGCUGUCACUUAUAGAUGGACCCGCGCCGCAUUAGCUAGUUGGUAAGGUAACGGCUUACCAAGGCAACGAUGCGUAGCCGACCUGAGAGGGUGAUCGGCCACAUGGGACCUGAGACACGGUCCGGACCCCUACGGAGGCCAGCAGUAGGGAAUCUGCAGCAAUGGGGGAAGGCCUGACGGAGCAACGCCGCUGGGGUGAUGAAGUCCUUCGGAUCGUAAAACUCUGUUAUUGGGGAAGAACAAAUGUGUAAGUAACUAUGCAGGUCUGGACUGUACCUAAUCAGAAAGCCCCGGCUACCUCCGU
rnacentral:rRNA from 1 species